rnacentral:rRNA from 1 species
GGACUACUCGGGUAUCUAAUCCCGUUCGCUCCCCUAGCUUUCGCGCCACAGCGUCAGUCGCAGGCCAGGAUGCCGCCUUCGCCACUGGUGUUCCUCCGGGUCUCUACGCAUUUCACCGCUACUCCCGGAGUUCCACAUCCCUCUCCUGCACUCACAAGCACACCCGUUACAGGCGACCCUCCCCAGUUGAGCCGGGGGCUUUCACACCUGUCGUAGUCUGCCGCCUACGCGCUCUUUACGCCCAGUAAUUCCGGACAACGCUCGCCUCCUACGUAUUACCGCGGCGGCUGGCAC